ACCUGGUUGAUCCUGCCAGAGCA
rnacentral:rRNA from 1 species